rnacentral:misc_RNA from 1 species
AGCACCGGAUUGACCGCAAACAGGAAGAGUAGACCCGUAAUCAACAUCAGACUGGCCAUCGCAGUAUAGAACGGCUGCCACGGCAGGCGGUACCACCAGUAGAGGAACGGCGACAGACCGACGUUGAUGAGUGCCAACGUCUUUGCUCGAUCCAGCGCGCCGCGCCACACGCGCUCCUGCGGCUGAAAAGUUCCGAGUAACAGCAGUGCAAUCAACAGCAAUCCUGUCGGAAGCAGUGGCGCCACAAGCCCAACUGGUCCGAGCCAAUCGGUUUUUGCCGUUUGCAC